rnacentral:lncRNA from 1 species
AAUAUUCUCGCAUUCCUUUCCAGCCAUACGACAUAAAACAUCUCUGUCAUUGUCAUUUUGAUUAUGUGAGCUCGAGGGGAUUUGCCUUUAGAUUUCUCAAUGAACAACUGGACAAACUGGAGCCAGUUUUGCCCAGUAGGUUGGUUAACUCCAAUCCAUUGCAACAUACAGUUGAGUUGCAUAAGUACAAUCCAGGAAUAGGUGUUCCCUAGAUUCAACAGCUUGUUGGCACAUGACACAAGUGUCUGUUAUAUCCAGGUUC